GGUCAGUGGGAGCAACAGCAUGCUUGGCACAGCAGCAUGGGGUGCACAUUCCGCAGCGGGUGGGCACCAGGGGCCCCGAAGCUUUCUACAUCUUGUUCGGCCUCAUUUUCCACGGUGCCCUGUGUCCAACUCCAAACCCCAAAGGCUCUGAAGACCAAAGCUGUUUUGCAUUUGUGGUUUUGCACGUGGGGGAACUCGUUUGGCAGAGGAAGCAGAGCUGAAGACAAAACCCACUUGGAGUCGCUUUGUCCUGGGUCCUACCACCACUGGGACGUGCGUGGAGAGAAUCUGCCUGCUGACUGUCACUGUCCCCUCCCCCAUCUCCUUCUAGUACUGGGGGUUGAACUCAAGGCCUUCACACUGAGGGAUGUGAAGGAGUGGCAGGAGGGCAGAGGCCAGGAUGCAGGCAGGCAGGCACUUGG
rnacentral:lncRNA from 1 species